CAAUAAAAUCACCAAGUCUGUUCAUUUUAACAAUUGAGUGUAACACAAACUAAAAACUUAAAAAAUUUUUUUCACCUUAAAGAAUAAGCAACAAAAUGUAUCACCUAAAGAUCGUAUCAUUAGUACAAUUUCAUGUAAGAAAUAAAGUUCUAGAUGGAAUUGGUCAACAAGAGAAACUGUUAAAAACCACUCCAUCUUAAUUAAGAGGCACCACACUUCUUCUAAGCCAAAAAUUCCUUGCAAUUAAAAGGAAUAAUUAAUAAUUCAAAAUUAGUUAAGACUGACCAUCCUAUUACUAAUGCCUUUUCAUGACUUUUCAAAGUGAAAUGCUUAUUAAAUUGUGAUGCUUAAAAAAGGUGAGUUAGAAAUGGGAAUUUGCAAUGAAAUGAUUUGAGAUUAUCUACCUUUCACUUAGAUAUACACUAUUUUUGUCUCCAUUGUGUAAAACACAGAUAUGCCAAAAUUAACAGAUGGCUAUUCUUUCCCUGCUACAGUCUCUGGCAUCUAGAAUAGUUAGAAUGACAGAACCUUAAAGCUGGAGACACUGGUGCUAUGUUGUCCAUGCCCUCGUUUUCAGAUUAGGAAAAUGAGGUUCAGGAAGGCAGCAAUUCUUGUUCACGUUCACAAUUAACUGGUGGCAGAGCACAGACUAAAACCCAGGGACGGUUAACUCUUAUGCCAGUAUCCCUGUUUUCCUCUUUGGUCAGCAGCAAGGCAGGGCUAAAGCUACCUUGAACUUCCCAGAGUCUAGUUCCAGUUACUGCUGUAACUCUGAUUUACAGAACCUGUAGUUAACUGACUUUAUUAUUUUUUACUGAUUUUUGAGAGAGAGAGAGAGAGAGAGAGAGAGGGAGAGAAAUAAUUAUUUGUUGUUCCACUUAUUUAUGCAUUCAUUGGUUGAUUCUUACAUGUGCUCUGACUGGGGAUUGAACCCACAGUCUUCACACAUUGGGACCAUGCUCUAACACUUAGAGUCUAGCCAACUGAGCUAUCCAACCCAGGACUAUACUUAACUGAUUUCAAAUAAAAUUAUUAGAAUUAGCUUACC